CUACGGGACGCAGCAGUGGGGAAUAUUGCACAAUGGGCGAAAGCCUGAUGCAGCAACGCCGCGUGAGGGACGACGGCCUUCGGGUUGUAAACCUCUUUUAGCAGGGAAGAAGCGAAAGUGACGGUACCUGCAGAAAAAGCACCGGCUAACUACGUGCCAGCAGCCGCGGUAAUACGUAGGGUGCAAGCGUUGUCCGGAAUUAUUGGGCGUAAAGAGCUCGUAGGCGGUUUGUCGCGUCUGCUGUGAAAAUCCGAGGCUCAACCUCGGACCUGCGGUGGGUACGGGCAAACUAGAGUGCGGUAGGGGAGAUUGGAAUUCCGGGUGUAGCGGUGGAAUGCGCAGAUAUCAGGAGGAACACCAAUGGCGAAGGCAGAUCUCUGGGCCGUAACUGACGCUGAGGAGCGAAAGCGUGAGGAGCGAACAGGAUUAGAUACCCGCGUAGUC
rnacentral:rRNA from 1 species